UAUGAGUGGGGUGGAUGGGGAGUGAGAGCAGAGCUAUGGGAUAUAGGGGAGACCCUGGUGAGAGCCUCAUCUAUAGUCGAAGAGGGGAACCCCUGUUCCCUAAAGAAUGAAAAUUAAUUUACCACUGUCUGUCAUGGUUGAGCAUGUACAUUUCAGAGUUUAGGGAAGGUAUCACCAAAGGAAGGUAUCAGCAAUAGAAAAGUAAUAAAAUUAGGAUUAUCCAAGAGAACAGAAGAAUUGGAGAUAUCUUCGAAAGAUAUUGUGAUGAUUGCAAAAAAUAGAAAGGAUAAGGCCAGCAGGAAUUUAUAAGAUAAUCUACUGCACUACUUAACCAGCAAGCAAUGUGGGUCAAUGAACAUGGGUUUGAUGAGUGAUCGGUACCACAUAGCAUAGUUGCGCAUAAUUACAUGAAGAGUAGGACAAGGGAGGCAGGUCAGGAAUACAAUGUAUUAAUCAGGCAAAAAUAAUGGCAUCGAAGUACUGUCAGUAGAUAACGAGCCAAGGAAGACGAAGGUCAACGUUGCUACUGAACUAUGCUAUGCUCCGAUGCUACGAGUCAGACUCAUCUAACAGAUUGGGAAAGUAUAGAAAGCAAAUGCUGCAGAUACUCGGAAUCUGAAAUAAACACAGAAAGUGCCGAGGAUAGUCAGUAGGCAUCUGUAGGCCGAUGACUAUUAUUCAAAUGUUUGGCUCUUGUAUCAAGACAAGAUGUAUUUAAGGAAAAUGAAAUAUUUUCAUACGUUUUCGUCAUUGAAAUGCCUGGGCCAGCGAUUGGAUGGGGUAAACGAGUCAGUUAAAUUGUGCCAUAUAAACCCCUGUAUUAUGGGUCCCUCAGCUGAAUGUCCACAACAAGCCUGGGAGACCCAGUCCCACACCCCCGAUCGCACCAGUUGCCGUGGCGACCGUAGCCUCCGGGUGCUCCGUUGCCGGCGGCGCAGGGGCCGUUUCAGGCCCCGGAUGGCGAGUGACUCUCUCUCUCUCUCUCGCGUAGUGUUCGGUGGACGACGGAGGUGGCGGUGGCGGUGCUCUCUCUCUCUCUCCCCCUUCCCCAGAAGCAACAGGCGCCGAAUCAAAAGCUGCAACCGAGCAGGAGAUGCGAGCAAGAGAUGUGAAAGGAAACUGGAGCAUUUAUGAGAAACCCACACAGUCACAGAGAUUGUGCAAAUGCCAUACUGACAGCCCCAGAGAUUACAGGAGCUUGUCAAUCUAGCCUGAUUUCCUCUGUUGGAUGCAACUCUACUGCCAAGAUUUGGAACGGACCUACCACUAUGACACACUCUAAAAUUCUGCUAAUACUUCAUCAAUGUGAAACAUCAACUCUGUUUCUCCUUCCAUAGAUGCUGCCGUUUUGAGCAUCGCCAGCAUUUUCCAUUUUUUGGUUAUCGUCUAUUUUACUUUUCCAGCUAUGUUUGAACCUUUCAAAUUAGAAGUGCCAAUAAAACAACAUUUAUUUUGCCGUAAGACCUUACAGAAUGUCCGAAAGCAGGUUCUAACCUAUUAAGUAUCUUUGUUACGUGGGAAACAUGGCAGCUAUUUUUGAAGAAAGUUCAAUGUUCCGCAAACAGCAAUGCAAUAAAAACAGGUAAUUAGUCAGAACAUAAACUGACUGCUGGAGGAACACAGCAUGCCAGGCAGCAACUAUGGAGGGAAAUGGCUAGACCACAUCUUGGAUCAGGACCUUGCUCAGCCUGAUCCAGUAGAGGGAUAGCUGGUAGAAAGAGAUGAGGUGAAGGGGUUGGGCAACAGGUGAC